rnacentral:rRNA from 1 species
AUUGAACGCUGGCGGCAUGCCUUACACAUGCAAGUCGAACGGCAGCACGGGAGCAAUCCUGGUGGCGAGUGGCGAACGGGUGAGUAAUAUAUCGGAACGUGCCCAGUCGUGGGGGAUAACGUAGCGAAAGCUACGCUAAUACCGCAUACGAUCUAUGGAUGAAAGCGGGGGAUCGCAAGACCUCGCGCGAUUGGAGCGGCCGAUAUCAGAUUAGGUAGUUGGUGAGGUAAAGGCUCACCAAGCCGACGAUCUGUAGCUGGUCUGAGAGGACGACCAGCCACACUGGGACUGAGACACGGCCCAGACUCCUACGGGAGGCAGCAGUGGGGGAAUUUUUGGGACAAUGGGCGCAAGCCUGAUCCAGCAAUGCCGCGUGCAGGAUGAAGGCCUCGGUGUAACUAGCUUUGUAC